rnacentral:rRNA from 1 species
GCCGUAGGGCGCGAGCGUUGUCCGGAUUUAUUGGGCGUAAAGAGCUCGUAGGCGGCUCGUUGCGUCGGCUGUGAAAACCCACAGCUUAACUGUGGGCCUGCAGCCGAUACGGGCGAGCUAGAGUUCGGUAGGGGAGACUGGAAUUCCUGGUGUAGCGGUGAAAUGCGCAGAUAUCAGGAGGAACACCGGUGGCGAAGGCGGGUCUCUGGGCCGAUACUGACGCUGAGGAGCGAAAGCGUGGGGAGCGAACAGG